rnacentral:lncRNA from 10 species
CUAAAGAACUAAGGUUGACUUUGUGGAACCAAUGCUUACAAACCCCUUCCAUGAAAACUGGCCUAGUACCUGGCUUAUAGCGUUGCCAGUCUUACAGGUCCAGGUGGACCCAAGAACCCUAGGAUAUUUUGAGGACCUUAAGAAGAGACAAAUUCACUCAAAUUUAGGGGUCCUUCAGGUGAAAUCUGGUGGUGAGUUCUUGGUGUGGCUAUCUGGCUUCAAGAGGCUUUUGAAAGUCAAGUUUGGGAUUUUUUGAAAACUUUUAGCAAGGCAAACUUAAGAAGCCCUAAAUGGUACUUUACCACUCUUGUUGUACCCAUGUAAAGACUUGAAGCCAAAUGUUAAGACCAGUCUCAUUUUGUGACCAAAAAGAAUCUUCUUGCCAGGCACAGCGACAUGUACUUGUAAUCCCAGCUACUCAGGAGGCUGAGGUGAGAGGAUCAUGGAGUUCAGAAUCAGCCUGGGCAACAUAGCAAGGCCCCAUCUCAAAAUAAAUAAAUAAAACAAAUUAGCCAGAUGUAUUGGUACACACUUUAACCUCAGGUUCUUGGGAGUUAAAGUGAGAGGAUCACUUGAGCCCAGGAGUUUGAGGUUGUAGUGAGCUGUGAUCGUGUCUCUACAUUCCAGUCUGGAUGACUGAGUGAGAUUCUGUCUCUUAAGAAAAAAAAAGGCUGGGCGUGGUCGCUGAUGCCUGUAUCCCAGCACUUUGGGAGGCCGAGGUGGAUGGAUCACUUGAGGUCAGGAGUUUGAGACCAGCCUGGCCAACAUGGUGAAACCUUAUCUCUACUAAAAAUACAAAAAUAGCCACGCAUGGUGGUGGGCACCUGUAAUCCCAGCUACUCGGGAGGCUGAGGCAGGAGAAUCGGUUGGAACCGGGAGGCGGAGGUUUUAGUGAGCCGAGAUUGCACCACUGCACUCCAGCCUGGGCGACAGAGUGAGACGUCAUCUCAAAACAAAACAAAAAAAAAAAAAAAAAGAAAAAAGAAUAAUUUUCCUGGCUGGCCUGAAGGUAGUGAGUUAUCUCAGUUGAUUGUUCAUAGUCAGUUACAGACGGAAUUCCUUGUUCUACUCCUUCCCUUCUUCUGCCUACUGCACUUGACUAGUCUUCAAAAAAGAUUAUAAUCUUCCCUUGAGGUUAGGAAGGAGAUUAUCGAAAAUGGAGAAGAUUAUAGAAAAAAAUUUUGUACUUCCAUGAGAAACUAUGCAUUGACCAUAGCAACUAUUCCAGCUGUUGGAUUCUAGCCCUGUUUACUGUCUUUGAACUAUUUUGCAGCUCUUUUUAAAUUACAGGCAAUUGAGGAAUUUUGUAGAAGACAAAAACCGACCAAUAAGAAGACUAAUUUUUUUUUUUUUGAGACAGAGUCUCGCUCUGUCUCCAGGCUGGAGUGUGGUGGUGCCAUCUCGGCUCACUGCAACCUCCGCCUCCUGGGUUUAAGCGAUUCUCCUGCCUCAGCCUCUUGUGUAGGUAGGACUACAGGCAUGCACCACCACACCCAGCUAAUUGUUUGUAUUUUUAGUAGAGACAGGGUUUCACCAUGUUGGCCAGGAUGGUCUCUCUUGACCUCAUGAUCCACCUGCCUUGGCCUCCCAAAGUGCUGGGAUCACAGGCAUAAGCCACCACGCCCGGCCAAGAAGACUGAUUUUUUUUUUUGUAAAUAAAUUUUUAUUGGAAUAUAGCAACACCCAUUCUUUUAUGAAUUGUCUGUAACUGUUGUAGAGUUAGUAGCUGUGACAGAGAUUGUAUGGUCUGCAAAGCCUAAAAUAUUUACCAUCUGCUCUUUUACAGAAAAUUGUUGCCAACCCCUGGUAUAGCCAUUUCUCUUUUGUGUAAACAUAUGAGCAGUUAUAGGGGCUCUGCUUUGUGAAGUCCUCAGGGCCCCAGGAUCUUUCUAUCUUGUCACUUAACCUUCUGUAAGAUGUUGCUUUUGUCUUCAUAGUCCAGGCUCACCAUGACGUUCCAGUCAAUCUAUAUCCACAGUAUAACAAGCAAAAUGGUCUUCUCAGUUGGAAAUGCAGAAAUCACCCAUCUUCUGUGUCACUCGCGCUGGGAGCUGUAGACUGGAGCUGUUCCUAUUCAAGAAGACUAAUUUUAUUCAGGCUAUUGCAAUACGAAGAUUACCCAGAUCUGAAGGACAGGGUAUCUCGACAGGGUGGUUUUGUCUUAGAUUUUUAUAGGGAGGAGCAGACAAGUUACUGGUGGGGUGAUUUACAGUUGGGGUUGUUUUGCAAUCAGAGGAAGUCUUGGCCACUUAGCUGAACAGGAAAUGUUUACCUCUAUGUCUAGCUUGUUUCAGGGGAUGAGUCAUCCUAAUCUCAGCUAAUCAUUCAUGUGACAAAGAAUGGGGAGUUGGAGGGUCUGUGUCUGGUCUUGUUGGCAGGUUCAGGCAAAAGGGGAAAAGACUGUGUUUGGCCUUAUCACAGGACAAGGGAGUCACCUAUGAGUCCUGUGGGAACCAGGAGGAAGAACGGACAGAGUCUUGUCUAAGUUAUAUGGGGGA